rnacentral:rRNA from 1 species
GAGGAAUAUUGGACAAUGGACGAAAGUCUGAUCCAGCCAUGCCGCGUGCAGGAUGACGGCCCUAUGGGUUGUAAACUGCUUUUAUACAGGAAGAAACACUCCCACGUGUGGGGGCUUGACGGUACUGUACGAAUAAGGAUCGGCUAACUCCGUGCCAGCAGCCGCGGUAAUACGGAGGAUCCAAGCGUUAUCCGGAAUUAUUGGGUUUAAAGGGUCCGCAGGCGGUCUAUUAAGUCAGAGGUGAAAUCUUGCAGCUCAACUGUAAAAUUGCCUUUGAUACUGGUAGACUUGAGUCAUUGUGAAGUGGUUAGAAUGUGUAGUGUAGCGGUGAAAUGCAUAGAUAUUACACA